rnacentral:rRNA from 1 species
GAUCUGUAGCCGAACUGAGAGGUUGAUCGGCCGCAUUGGGACUGAGACACGGCCCAGGCUCCUACGGGAGGCAGCAGUGGGGAAUAUUGCGCAAUGGGGGCAACCCUGACGCAGCAACGCCGCGUGCAGGAAGAAGGUCUUCGGAUUGUAAACUGUUGUCGCAAGGGAAGAAGACAGUGACGGUACCUUGUGAGAAAGUCACGGCUAACUACGUGCCAGCAGCCGCGGUAAUACGUAGGUGACAAGCGUUGUCCGGAUUUACUGGGUGUAAAGGGCGCGUAGGCGGACUGUCAAGUCAGUCGUGAAAUACCGGGGCUUAACCCCGGGGCUGCGAUUGAAACUGACAGCCUUGAGUAUCGGAGAGGAAAGCGGAAUUCCUAGUGUAGCGGUGAAAUGCGUAGAUAUUAGGAGGAACACCAGUGGCGAAGGCGGCUUUCUGGACGACAACUGACGCUGAGGCGCGAAAGUGUGGGGAGCAAACAGGAUUAGAUACCCUGGUAGUCCACACCGUAAACGAUGGAUACUAGGUGUAGGAGGUAUCGACCCCUUCUGUGCCGCAGUUGACACAAUAAGUAUCCCACCUGGGGAGUACGACCGCAAGGUUGAAACUCAAAGGAAUUGACGGGGGCCCGCACAAGCAGUGGAGUAUGUGGUUUAAUUCGAAGCAACGCGAAGAACCUUACCUGGGCUUGACAUCCCUGGAAUCGAGUAGAGAUACUUGAGUGCCUUCGGGAAUCAGGUGACAGGUGGUGCAUGGUUGUCGUCAGCUCGUGUCGUGAGAUGUUGGGUUAAGUCCCGCAACGAGCGCAACCCCUAUUGUCAGUUGCCAUCAUUAAGUUGGGCACUCUGGCGAGACUGCCGGUGACAAAUCGGAGGAAGGUGGGGACGACGUCAAAUCAUCAUGCCCCUUAUGCCCAGGGCUACACACGUACUACAAUGGCCGAUAACAAAGUGCAGCGAAACCGUGAGGUGGAGCGAAUCACAAAACUCGGUCUCAGUUCAGAUUGCAGGCUGCAACUCGCCUGCAUGAAGUUGGAAUUGCUAGUAAUCGCGGAUCAGAAUGCCGCGGUGAAUACGUUCCCGGGCCUUGUACACACCGCCCGUCACACCAUGAGAGUCGAUAACACCCGAAGCCUGUGAGCUAACCUUUUAGGAGGCAGCAGUCGAAGGUGGGGUUGAUGAUUGGGGUGAAGUCGUAACAAGGUA